rnacentral:rRNA from 1 species
CCUACGGGUGGCAGCAGUGGGGAAUAUUGCACAAUGGGCGCAAGCCUGAUGCAGCCAUGCCGCGUGUGUGAAGAAGGCCUUCGGGUUGUAAAGCACUUUCAGCGGGGAGGAAGGCGUUAAGGUUAAUAACCUUGGCGAUUGACGUUACCCGCAGAAGAAGCACCGGCUAACUCCGUGCCAGCAGCCGCGGUAAUACGGAGGGUGCAAGCGUUAAUCGGAAUUACUGGGCGUAAAGCGCACGCAGGCGGUCGGUCAAGUCGGAUGUGAAAUCCCCGGGCUCAACCUGGGAACUGCAUUCGAAACUGGCAGGCUAGAGUCUGGUAGAGGGGGGUAGAAUUCCAGGUGUAGGGGGGAAAUGCGUAGAGAUCUGGAGGAAUACCGGUGGCGAAGGCGGCCCCCUGGACAAAGACUGACGCGCAGGUGCGAAAGCGUGGGGAGCAAACAGGAUUAAUACCCGGGUAGUC